rnacentral:rRNA from 1 species
CUACGGGUCGCAGCAGUGAGGAAUAUUGCGCAAUGGGGGCAACCCUGACGCAGCGACGCCGCGUGGAUGAUGAAGGCCUUCGGGUCGUAAAAUCCUGUCAGAUGGAAAGAAGUGCGAGGUGGUUAAUACCCAUUUCGUUUGACGGUACCAUCAGAGGAAGCACCGGCUAACUCCGUGCCAGCAGCCGCGGUAAUACGGAGGGUGCAAGCGUUGUUCGGAAUUACUGGGCGUAAAGCGCGCGUAGGCGGUUUGUUAAGUCAGAUGUGAAAGCCCCCGGCUCAACCGUGGACGUGCAUUUGAAACUGGCAGACUUGAGUAUUGGAGGGGGUGGUGGAAUUCCCGGUGUAGAGGUGAAAUUCGUAGAUAUCGGGAGGAAUACCGGUGGCGAAGGCGACCACCUGGCCAAAUACUGACGCUGAGGUGCGAAAGCGUGGGGAGCAAACAGGAUUAGAUACCCUAGUAGUC